rnacentral:rRNA from 1 species
UACAGAGGUCCCGAGCGUUGUUCGGAUUCACUGGGCGUAAAGGGUGCGUAGGUGGUGAGGUAAGUCGGAUGUGAAAUCUCCAAGCUCAACUUGGAAAUGGCAUUGGAAACUACCUUGCUGGAGGUUUGGAGGGGGGACUGGAAUACUUGGUGUAGCAGUGAAAUGCGUAGAUAUCAAGUGGAACACCAGUGGCGAAGGCGAGUCCCUGGACAACAACUGACACUGAGGCACGAAAGCUAGGGGAGCAAACAGG